rnacentral:rRNA from 1 species
GGAGGCGGCCUUAUAAGUCAGAUGUGAAAGUCCACGGCUCAACCGUGGAAGUGCAUUUGAAACUGUGGGGCUUGAGUAUCGGAGGGGAGUGUGGAAUUCCCGGUGUAGAGGUGAAAUUCGUAGAGAUCGGGAGGAACACCGGUGGCGAAGGCGACACUCUGGACGAAUACUGACGCUGAGGCGCGAAAGCGUGGGGAGCAAACA